rnacentral:tRNA from 1 species
UACGGACUAAAAUCCGUUGGCUUUAUUGACCGUGAGGGUUCAAGUCCCUCUACCCCCA